CCGCAUGGGGAUAUUUGCUAAAGAUUCAUCGCUGAUAGAUAGGCAUGCGUUCCAUUAGGCAGUUGGCGGGGUAACGGCCCACCAAACCGACGAUGGAUAGGGGUUCUGAGAGGAAGGUCCCCCACAUUGGUACUGAGACACGGACCAAACUCCUACGGGAGGCAGCAGUGAGGAAUAUUGGUCAAUGGGCGUAAGCCUGAACCAGCCAAGUCGCGUGAGGGAUGAAGGCUCUAUGGAUCGUAAACCUCUUUUAUAAGGGAAUAAAGUGUGGGACGUGUCCUGUUUUGUAUGUACCUUAUGAAUAAGGAUCGGCUAACUCCGUGCCAGCAGCCGCGGUAAUACGGAGGAUCCGAGCGUUAUCCGGAUUUAUUGGGUUUAAAGGGUGCGUAGGCGGCCUUUUAAGUCAGCGGUGAAAGUCUGUGGCUCAACCAUAGAAUUGCCGUUGAAACUGGGAGGCUUGAGUAUGUUUGAGGCAGGCGGAAUGCGUGGUGUAGCGGUGAAAUGCUUAGAUAUCACGCAGAACCCCGAUUGCGAAGGCAGCCUGCCAAGCCAUGACUGACGCUGAUGCACGAAAGCGUGGGGAUCAAACAGGAUUAGAUACCCUGGUAGUCCACGCAGUAAACGAUGAUCACUAGCUGUUUGCGAUACAGUGUAAGCGGCACAG
rnacentral:rRNA from 1 species